rnacentral:rRNA from 1 species
AGUCACUGACAUUAGAUACCCCUGUAGUCCCAGCCGUAAACGAUGCGCGUUAGGUGUAUCGGUGACCACGAGUCACCGAGGUGCCGAAGGGAAACCGUGAAACGUGCCGCCUGGGAAGUACGGUCGCAAGGCUGAAACUUAAAGGAAUUGGCGGGGAGCACCACAAGAGGUGGAGGCUGCGGUUCAAUUGGACUCAACGCCGGAAAACUCAUCGGGAGCGACAGCAGUAUGAUUGCCAGGUUGAUGACCUUGCUUGACAAGCUG